rnacentral:rRNA from 1 species
UACGUAGGGUGCAAGCGUUAAUCGGAAUUACUGGGCGUAAAGCGUGCGCAGGCGGUUAUGUAAGACAGAUGUGAAAUCCCCGGGCUCAACCUGGGAACUGCAUUUGUGACUGCAUAGCUCGAGCACGGCAGAGGCUGGUGGAAUUCCCGGUGUAGCGGUGGAAUGCGUAGAGAUCGGGAAGAACACCGGUGGCGAAGGCGGCCUUCUGGACGAUUACUGACGCUGAGACGCGAAAGCGUGGGUAGCAAACAGG